GUUUCAAUUCCGCAUGUUAAUGAAACUAAAGAUUUAUCGGAAACGGAUAGGCUCGCGUGACAUUAGCUAGAUGGCGGGGUAACGGCCCACCAUGGCAACGAUGUCUAGGGGGUUCUGAGAGGAAGGUCCCCCACACUGGAACUGAGACACGGUCCAGACUCCUACGGGAGGCAGCAGUGAGGAAUAUUGGUCAAUGGUCUGACGACUGAACCAGCCAUGCCGCGUGAAGGUGACGGCCCUAUGGGUCUUAAACUUCUUUUUGUAAGGGAGCAAUAAGGUCUACGUGUAGUCUGAUGAGAGUACCUUACGAAUAAGCAUCGGCUAACUCCGUG
rnacentral:rRNA from 1 species